UCCACAUCUUGCAUAGAGGAGGUGAAAUACAUCUCUCCUAUCGUAGUCUUUCUAGGAUUAGAAGCUCCUUCCAAUGAAGCCUAUCGUGUCAGUGAUGUUUCUCCUUUUUCUGGUUCUCCUCGCAGCUAACAGGACUACAGGGAUCAGAUUGUUGGAAGAAGAAUCAGUGGCUUCCCUACGCAACCAACUGCAUGAGGAAAAGAGCUUGAUGAAAGAAGGAGCGCUUCUACGUGGAUGCCAUGGGGAUUGUUCAGGUAGUGUGAAGGAGAGGAGAUCCAUAAGCAAAGUUAGAGAAGUCCAUCAAAGGCUUCCAGGGUUUCAUGAAGAUUACGUUGGACCUAGGAAUCACAUGCCUGAGCACCAUUGAAAUUAUUCUUCAUGCACGCUGUUCCACGAAUCUUCUCAAUUUCCUUUUGUUUUCUGUAUUUGAACGUCAUAAAAGAAGCUUGACCACAAACAUGUAG